rnacentral:ncRNA from 2 species
CUUCACAUGGGAGAUGGCAUGCCUCCCCGAACCGCCUGACGGCUGAUGAUGCCUACCGAUCG